UACGAAGGGGGCGAGCGUUGUUCGGAUUUACUGGGCGUAAAGGGCGCGCAGGCGGCUAUCCAAGUCAGGCGUGAAAGCCCCGGGCUUAACCUGGGAGGUGCGUCUGGGACUGGGUGGCUAGAGUUCGGGAGAGGAGAGUGGAAUUCCCAGUGUAGAGGUGAAAUUCGUAGAUAUUGGGAGGAACACCAGUGGCGAAGGCGGCUCACUGGACCGGUUCUGACGCUGAGGCGCGAAAGCGUGGGGAGCAAACGGG
rnacentral:rRNA from 1 species